UACGUAGGGACCAAGCGUUGUUCGGAUUUACUGGGCGUAAUGGGCGCGUAGGCGGCAAUUCAAGUCAUCUGUGAAAUCUCCGGGCUUAACUCGGAACGGUCAGAUGAUACUGCUUUGCUAGAGUGCGGAAGGGGCAAUCGGAAUUCUUGGUGUAGCGGUGAAAUGCGUAGAUAUCAAGAGGAACACCUGAGGUGAAGACGGGUUGCUGGGCCGACACUGACGCUGAAGCGCGAAAGCCAGGGGAGCAAACGGG
rnacentral:rRNA from 1 species